CCCCGCGGGAGUGCAGGAGGGAGGGGCAGCUGCGCCCCGGAGCCCGCCGGGCCAAGUUUGCUCCGGAUGGACACAAGAGAUCCAGACUUCUGAACUUCUACUGGAAAAGAUAAAAUGUGCAAGUCCUUGAUGAUGUUGGGGAGGUUGGAGCUGGACUAAAUUGGGAGACGAGAAGAAAUGCUGCUGUGAAGGCAGGUGCAGCUUAGAAGUCUGAUCAUCAUAAGGAGAAGCAAGUCUUGCUUGAAAGCAGCAGCU